GGACAGCUGAAGAGAAGAUUCCAUGUCCUACAUGGAGAGAUUCGACAUUCACCUGAGCGUGCUUGUCGCAUUAUUAUGGCUUGUGGCAUUUUGCACAAUAUUUGCAAAGCUCGUAACCUCCCAUUGCUUGAUGAUGAUGAUAAUGAUGAUGAUGAUGAUGACGAUGAAAAUGACGACCAUGGUGAUGAUGAGAAUGAUGACAAUACCACCGAACACACAUUACAAAGCAUUUCGGGGAGAGCAUCAUUCAGGGAUUGCUUUGCUAACUCACAUUUUGGGGACUCAAUGUGAUCCUCAGUGGCUGCGCCCUGUGCAAAUCCAGUGUCUUGUGAGGCAGAAGCUCAUCUGGAGGACACACGGAGAUGUCUUGAGAUGAUACAGGAGAAGAUGCAUCUGAUGGACCGGCUCCAGAAUUAUCCACACUACAUUCACAUGCAGAAAAUAUUAAACAGUGCAAACAUGUUUAUUCAGUUCAUUGUGGUGACUGAAAUACUAUCAAUUUAUUAAAAAGACACAUUACAUGCAUACAUUAUUACAUGCAUAAUUUUCUUCUUACCAUCUUUGUAACUCCUUCAGUUUGAGAAGUGCAGGGUCUGGGGCAUCUGGGAUGCCACAAAUAGAGGGAUUGGCAAGUAUCUCCUCUACUAUUUCACCAAUCUCAGACAGAGGUUAACAUGGAGGGCCCCCACCUGUUUGACAAGAACUCAGCUGCUGACCACAUGGAGACAAUCAUUUAAUAUAAAAUGGUUUAAUAAGCUAAAAUAAAAUGUACCUGUGGCUCGCAUGCUUUCUUUAUAUGCUGCAAUUUCCUUGCGUGUUGUUGCCAACACAUUGUACCACCUUUUCUCACAAUACUCUGCUGAACGUCUUGUCCGAGGAAAUGCUGCAUUUACUGUCAGUACAAUCUGUUGCCAUGCAUUUUUUUUUCUUUGCUUGUUAAAGUUGGACUGAAUUUUCCUCUUAUCACAUCCUUCCAUUUAAGGACUGAAUGCACUAGAAGAAGAUUUUCUUCCUUGGACCAGUUUGGUUUUCUUUUUGCAUCCAUUUUUUUUAAACAAUUUGCAACUUUUGUCUUCCCUUUAUAUACAGCUGUGAGUGCAAUUUUGAAUUAUGUGAUUCAUCAUCCUAAUUACUUAAAUAGCAUCACAUUUGUCCAUUUAAUUAAUGUGUUGAAACUCUAUUAAAAUUGUGUGAAAUAAAUGCAUGUACUUAUUUGUAAUUUUUUUUUUUUUUUGCACAAAGCAAAAACGAAUUAUUCUAAAUAAAUUGAAAUAUUGAAAUAAUUGUUAUGUCUUAAUAAAAUAAUGAAUUAAUUGUG